AAGUCGUAACAAGGUUUCCGUAGGUGAACCUGCGGAAGGAUCAUUAAUGAAUUAUAAAACGGAUGGGGUUGUCGCUGGUCUUUACCGACAUGUGCACACCUUGUUCAAAAUUCAUCCACUACACCUCUUGUGCACCUUUUUCAUAUGGUUUGGUUCGUUAUUAUGGCUGUCUUCACGGGCAGUCAGAGAGCCUCUCUAUGUGUUACUAUAUCACAAACUUUAUAAAUCAGUCUAUGAAUGUCAUACUAUUGCUAUAAACGCAUUAUAAUACAACUUUCAACAACGGAUCUCUUGGCUCUC
rnacentral:misc_RNA from 1 species